GUGCCACUGUCCGGUCAACAUGCAAAGUGUGACAGCAAUGCUUACAAACGAGGAAAAACAAGUUCAGACAGCCCUGGUCUAAACUCUCAGAACUUCAGCAAUGUGGCAUACAGGAGUUGAAUCAGCACCUCAACUUUUUUUGCACACAAGCAUCUGCACUUCUACUCAACCAAAGCAUGUGACUACGUUUGCCACCUCUUUCGGUCAAGAGGAACUUAACUGUCUGCUCAGCUGCAACACGUUUCCACUUACCAUUUUUAUUUUUUUUGUACGUGUGUGUAGUUGUCGUCACUCACUCGUCUCCCGUUUUUUUUUUAUCUCCCGACUCGACGGCUGCCGCUUGUGUCCGAGCCAAGCGGGCUGACAAAAGAGACGAAGAUGCUCGUCGCGGGGACGCAAGCGCUCACGACGAAAGAUGGUUACACUUCUGCGAGCGGCAUCCCGCCAGCAUAUUUUCUGAGUGACUUCGUGGCCAUGUGAUCAGAAAAUUUUCCGCCCCUCUUUUUUUCCUUCCCCCCUCUCUCUUUUCUCACCUUCUCCGCUUCGCCUUGCAGACCGAGGACCGUUAAAUCCGAAAACAUACUUGCUCCCUUGUUUCGCCUCCCCUGAGGAUCGAAUUUUGUUUUUGAAGCGGGCUGUAUUGGUUUCUUUUUGUUAUUAUUAUCCCCCCCCCCCCCCCACACCAGUAUUAGUUGCUCUACAUUUUUAUUCAUGAAAUUUGAAAAAUUGGAUUCAACUGACAAAAAAAUUCAAUAAAAUUUGUAAUCCAGCACCAUGAUGUUGCGCAUUGCACAAAGUAUAGACCGCACACUAAAAAUGUCUACGGUGUUGCAAAUACAGGAAACGCCCUGUCAACCUGCAAAGCAAGAGGAAGUGGGGUUUUUUGUGUGUUUUUUUUUGGUUUGUUUUUAAAGCUUUGCUUCUACUUGGUUUUACAAAUUGCACUCGGUAGAAUUUCAACUCAGGAAACUGGCUGCAUGGAGAAUAACGGCAGGAAAAUAUACGAUUUUUUAUUCAAAGACAGAUGGGAUUUUAUUUGAUUGCUGAUUUAUUUGUAUUUAUUUUACAUGCGCUAUAAUAGCAGGAAGUAUGAGACCAAGAUCAAGACCAAGAUCAUUUCAAAACUUUUCCCACCAUUAAUCUGACAUAUAGUUUGUUCAACUCAAUAGAUUUUUAUCAUUUCAAGAGCGGACGUUGACAAACAUGAGAUCAUUUGGAUGCAAUAGUAAAACCACCUUCUUCUACAGUGAUAUUGAAAAAUAGACCAAGUUCGCUCAUUUAAAACCUUUUUCCACCAUUUAUGUAACCUAACAUUUAACAUUUAAUCAUGUAAAGCACCUUCUGUAUGAAAUGCGCUGUAUAAAUAAAUUUUCUUUGCUAACA